rnacentral:rRNA from 1 species
GAGUUUGAUCAUGGCUCAGAUUGAAUGCUGGCGGCAGGCUUAACACAUGCAAGUCGAACGAUGAUUACUAGCUUGCUAGUAUGAUUAGUGGCGAACGGGUGAGUAAUGCUUAGGAAUCUGCCUAUUAGUGGGGGACAACAUUCCGAAAGGAAUGCUAAUACCGCAUACGUCCUACGGGAGAAAGCAGGGGAUCGCAAGACCUUGCGCUAAUAGAUGAGCCUAAGUCGGAUUAGCUAGUUGGUGGGGUAAAGGCCUACCAAGGCGACGAUCUGUAGCUGGUCUGAGAGGAUGAUCAGCCACACUGGGACUGAGACACGGCCCAGACUCCUACGGGAGGCAGCAGUGGGGAAUAUUGGACAAUGGGCGAAAGCCUGAUCCAGCCAUGCCGCGUGUGUGAAGAAGGCCUUUUGGNUGUNAAGCACUUUAAGUGGGGAGGAAAAGCUAAUAAUUAAUACCCUAUUAGCCCUGACCGUACCCC